UUGAACGCUGGCGGCAUGCCUUACACAUGCCAGUCGAACGGCAGCACGGGUGCUUGCCCCUGGUGGCGAGUGGCGAACGGGUGAGUAAUACAUCGGAACAUGUCCUGUAGUGGGGGAUAGCCCGGCGAAAGCCGGAUUAAUACCGCAUACGAUCUACGGAUGAAAGCGGGGGACCUUCGGGCCUCGCGCUAUAGGGUUGGCCGAUGGCUGAUUAGCUAGUUGGUGGGGUAAAGGCCUACCAAGGCGACGAUCAGUAGCUGGUCUGAGAGGACGACCAGCCACACUGGGACUGAGACACGGCCCAGACUCCUACGGGAGGCAGCAGUGGGGAAUUUUGGACAAUGGGCGAAAGCCUGAUCCAGCAAUGCCGCGUGUGUGAAGAAGGCCUUCGGGUUGUAAAGCACUUUUGUCCGGAAAGAAAUCCUUGGCCCUAAUACGGUCGGGGGAUGACGGUACCGGAAGAAUAAGCACCGGCUAACUACGUG
rnacentral:rRNA from 1 species